rnacentral:rRNA from 1 species
AUGGGAUCCUACUAUGCAAUGAAACUCACAAUCUACCGAAGGAAACCAUCAAGCAACAGUACAAAGGCUAAAACGAGAACGACACCCCCAAAUGACUCCAGUAUCGGUUCUCAUGUCAUGGAGUAUGGUGAAAGACAUUCAGUAAAAUCCCAGAUAUAUUUCUUGCCUAGCUCAUCUUCUCGGUUACUACUAAUUUUCAUGCGUUUUGUUUUGCCAAAUUUGUCUGCUAACAUUGUAUCUUCUCACUUUCAGUAUGAGCAGUCAAAUGUUGGGUCAGAGGAGAAGCACAGGGCUCUCAGGGAGGUCAAAGAAACUGUGUUACACAGGAAGCAUCUUGACAGCAGUAUUGAUUUCAUCGGGAAGCUUGUCUUUGGAUUUGAGAAGGGGCCUUCAGUGAUUGAGGCUACUAAAGGCCCUGGCCAGCCAUUAGUAGACGAUUGGGAUUGUCUGAAGACGAUGGUGCCAGUUUUUGAGUCCCAAUGCGGAUCACUCGAAGUCAGUAUGGCAUGA